rnacentral:rRNA from 1 species
CCAAUAGCGUAUAUUAAAGUUGUUGCAGUUAAAAAGCUCGUAGUUGAACUUCGGGGUUCACCCAUUGGUCAGGCUUAACUGUCUGCACUGGUGAGAUGAAUCUCUACCUUCUGAGGAACUUUCAUGCCAUUUAUUUGGUGUGAUGGGAAAUCAGGACUGUUACUUUGAAAAAAUUAGAGUGUUUAAAGCAGGCUAACGUCUGAAUACAUUAGCAUGGAAUAAUGAAAUAGGACGGACUGGUUCUAUUUUGUUGGUUUCUAGGAUCACCGUAAUGAUUAAUAGGGAUAGUUGGUGGCAUUAGUAUUCAAUUGUCAGAGGUGAAAUUCUUGGAUUUAUUGAAGACUAACUACUGCGAAAGCAUUUGCCAAGGAUGUUUUCAUUAAUCAAGAACGAAAGUUAGGGGAUCGAAGACGAUCAGAUACCGUCGUAGUCUUAACCAUAAACUAUGCCGACUAGGGAUCGGACGAAGUUAAUUUUAUAAUGACGCGUUCGGCACCUUACG